rnacentral:rRNA from 1 species
AUAGAGACUCAGAGCUGCAUAUCAAUAAGCGGAGGAAAAGAAACUAACAAGGAUUCCCUUAGUAACGGCGAGUGAAGCGGGAAGAGCUCAAAUUUGAAAUCUUCAAGGUUCUACCUUGACGAAUUGUAGUUUAAAGAAGUGUUUUCUGUUAGAUGAGUAGCAAAAGUUCCUUGGAAUGGGACAUCAUAGAGGGUGAGAAUCCCGUAUUUGACCUAUUAUUUCCAGCUUUGUGAUACACUUUCAAAGAGUCGGAUUGUUUGGGAAUGCAGUCCAAAAUGGGUGGUAAAUUUCAUCUAAAGCUAAAUAUUGGCGAGAGACCGAUAGCGAACAAGUACCGUGAGGGAAAGAUGAAAAGAACUUUGAAAAGAGAGUUAAACAGUACGUGAAAUUGUCAAAAGGGAAGCGUUUGACACCAGUGUUGUUUUUCCGAAAAUCAAUUACGAAUGGCUUGAUUUUGUGUUGUAUUGACCUUAUCAGCUUUCUGCACUUUUUUCGAGUCUUUCUUAAUGCACUUUUUGGUUAACAAGUCAACAUCAAUUUCUUUUGUUGUAAAAGAGUAUUCGGAAGGUGGCUUUCUUUUCGGAGAAAGUGUUUAUAGCCCUAUACUUCUACAAUCGGAGAGAUUGAGGUCUGCAGCGUAGAUCCUUCGGGGUUAGAUACACUUGUGCUAAGUUGUAGCUUUUCAUAGACAACUUGUUGACUAUGUUUAGUCAUGCGGCUUACUCGCUUAUGCUAUUUUACCUACGCUUAGGAUGUUGACGAUCAGCUGAGCGCG